GAUGCCAUUGCCGGGAACAGAAAAGGAAUGGAGUCUUAGAACUUAAAUCCACUCUGCUGGCUCCAUUUUCUUCCUGCUCCUGCAUGAAUGAAUAGUGCCAUUUGAGAUACUGAAAGAAUCCUAAAGGAGUUUGGCACCCCACUCCGAUUGAAUUAGCCUCCUCUGAAAAUCCCAGUUGGCAAAGAUGCUGGAAUGCUGCCAGUACAAGUCUAGUGACCUGACAGCAGCGGAUGUGGCAGAGCUGGCUUUGGGGAACCUGAUCUUGCAGCCAAAGGACCUGGUGGUUCAGACUUCUGUGGGCUACUCAGGGCAGGCUGAGGAGAGAUGCCAUUGUAUGAGUAGAACACCACUGACCUCAGCAGUAGAUGUAUAAAGAAUCAGAUAGCAGAUCGCUUCACAUGAUUGAGGCUUCAGGUAGUGCUCUAUUUUGCCUAAGUAAUAGAGACAACAAUGGGUGAAAUCCUGCCCCCACGGAAAUUAGUGACAAAAUGCCUAUUGAUUUCAACAUCAUCAAUAUUUUACUCAAUGUGUGUUUAGUUUUCACCUUUGCUUGUUUUUGAGUUUGUAUCACAAACAUAACA